GCCAACAUAGCUCAGCGGUAGAGCAGCCGCUUCGUAAGCGGCAGGUCGUGGGUUCAAAUCCCACUGUUGGCUCCA
rnacentral:tRNA from 1 species